rnacentral:rRNA from 1 species
UGGGGAAUAUUGCACAAUGGGCGCAAGCCUGAUGCAGCGAUGCCGCGUGAGGGAAGAAGGUUUUCGGAUUGUAAACCUCUGUCAUCAGGGACGAAAAAAGACGGUACCUGAGAAGGAAGCUCCGGCUAACUACGUGCCAGCAGCCGCGGUAAUACGUAGGUGGCAAGCGUUAUCCGGAAUUACUGGGUGUAAAGGGAGCGCAGGCGGGAUAGCAAGUCAGCUGUGAAAACUAUGGGCUCAACCCAUAAACUGCAGUUGAAACUGUUAUUCUUGAGUGGAGUAGAGGCAAGCGGAAUUCCGAGUGUAGCGGUGAAAUGCGUAGAUAUUCGGAGGA